CGUGGAGCGUGGCGGGGUACAGUAUGGAGCUAGAGUUGUGCUAGCAAUUUACGCUUAAUCUAUCAUCUGUUUAAUUUUAUUGUCAUUUGAUAAAUUGAUUUGCUUGUUUGUUUUGAGUAAAUUCUUUUGUCCGAAAACAUCUAGGAAAUUUCACAGAUUCAAGAGAGCGUGCAAGGUAAAAUAUCUCUACGCAUUCUGUCUGGAAAGUAGGUAUUUUUUAUUGUGGAAAUAGACUAGGUACAGCGUCCCUUAAUUUGAACUUUUGUAGUAUAUCGCUCUUGCUAUACGUGCCAUAUAGGAUCACCAGUCAUCCACCAUCGCUCCCAGUCAGGUAGAGAGUGCUUUAUAAAAUCAAUUACCUUCCCCGGAUUAGCAGACUAAAUUUCACGGGAAUGUAAGCAACCCUUGUUGAGGAAUUUGAUUCUGCUCGUGUACAAUGCACCACAGCUGCAUAGCAGAAAUUUCGUUCAACAACUGUGUUGCAACUACAGUUAGGUUUAAUAAUAAAAAUCAUUUGAGUAUUGAUGUUGGGUAGAUUGUUUUACAAAAUGUCUCGUGUCGUAAA